UGAUAAUCUGAGAAUUUAAUAAUCUGAAUAUUUUUAACAAGACAAAUCAUUCUUCAUACUUGCAUGCAUGUUUACACUUUUGAACUUAAACACAGAAUUUUCAUUUUAUUUACAGCAAUUACAAGCUUGUAACUUCAAUCUGAAAACCUCUCCCAAAAACAAAUUUUUUUAUUUUACAUUAAUGUGUGGUGACAGUGAAUAAAGGCU